rnacentral:rRNA from 1 species
GUGAACGCUGGCGGUAGGCCUAACACAUGCGAGUCGAACGGCAGCACAGUAAGAGCUUGCUCUUACGGGUGGCGAGUGGCGGACGGGUGAGGAAUACAUCGGAAUCUACUUUUUCGUGGGGGAUAACGUAGGGAAACUUACGCUAAUACCGCAUACGACCUACGGGUGAAAGCAGGGGAUCUUCGGACCUUGCGCGAUUGAAUGAGCCGAUGUCGGAUUAGCUAGUUGGCGGGGUAAAGGCCCACCAAGGCGACGAUCCGUAGCUGGUCUGAGAGGAUGAUCAGCCACACUGGAACUGAGACACGGUCCAGACUCCUACGGGAGGCAGCAGUGGGGAAUAUUGGACAAUGGGCGCAAGCCUGAUCCAGCCAUACCGCGUGGGUGAAGAAGGCCUUCGGGUUGUAAAGCCCUUUUGUUGGGAAAGAAAAGCAGCAGGUUAAUACCCCGCUGUUCUGACGGUACCCAAAGAAUAAGCACCGGCUAACUUCGUG